rnacentral:rRNA from 1 species
AUUGAACGCUGGCGGCAGGCCUAACACAUGCAAGUCGAACGAGUGGCGGACGGGUGAGUAAUGUCUGGGAAACUGCCUGAUGGAGGGGGAUAACUACUGGAAACGGUAGCUAAUACCGCAUACCAUCGGAUGUGCCCAGAUGGGAUUGGCUAGGCGGUGGGGUAAAGGCUCACCUAGGCGACGAUCCCUAGCUGGUCUGAGGGGAGGACCAUCCACCCUGGAACGGUGCCACGGUCCAUACUCCUACGGGAGGCAGCAGUGGUGAAUAUUGCACAAUGGGCGCAAGCCUGAUGCAGCCAUGCCGCGUGUAUGAAGAAGGCCUUCGGGUUGUAAAGUACUUUCAGCGGGGAGGCGUUACCCGCAGAAGAAGCACCGGCUAACUCCGUGCCAGCAGCCGCGGUAAUAC